CUGUACUUUAACCGACCAGAGACCUCAAGUGUCAACAGUGAGUAGUUAUGGCUUGUCAAGAUGCUGUUAUACGACGAUCAGUAGACGACAUUAAAUGAGAUCAUUCACAUCCAUUAUGGAGUCUCCAGAAAGACUGAAAAUUUGGCUGAGAAACAGCAGUCAUGUGAAGAAGCUGGACUUAUAACAUACGCAGAGGAAGGCGAGGUCGGGGAGGUAGACUGAGUGGACCGACCAACAAAGAUGUAUUAGAGAAACUGUCAAAAGUUCACCCACUUCCUUCACUCAUCCUGCAGUGGCCCAAGAUAAACUCAUCUCUUAUCAAGAAGUGAAGAACAAGGGACAGGCUGAUGACAGAGGCUACACCACCACCACCACCAGAUGACAGGAGGCACCACCACCACCAGAUGACUGAAGCAACACCACCACCACCAGAUGACAGGAGGCAC